UACGUAGGGGGCAAGCGUUGUCCGGAAUCAUUGGGCGUAAAGAGCGUGUAGGCGGCCCGGUAAGUCCGCUGUGAAAGUCCAGGGCUCAACCCUGGGAUGCCGGUGGAUACUGUCGGGCUCGAGUCCGGAAGAGGAGUGUGGAAUUCCGUGUGUAGCAGUGAAAUGCGUAGAGAUGCGGAGGAGCACCGAUGGCGAAGGCAGCCCCCUGGGUCGACACUGACGCUCAGGCACGAAAGCGUGGGGAGCAAACAGG
rnacentral:rRNA from 1 species